CAACAGAAUCGAUAAAAUCGACACGUGGUGACGGUUCAAGCCCGUGCCCAGUGGCUCUCCGACGAACCUUUCUUUGUCUUUGCAGCCCUCUCACGCAAGCUCUGUGGAUUACUCGCUGACUCGGCCUUGCGAUUCUAUCUCGCUCGUGUUUGUGUUGGUUAACCCCGCGUGCUUUCUGAGAUUUGUGGGCUCCCAGCUGUUUUGCGAUUUCAGACCUGAUCUCUUAAGCUAAAAUACAACUAAAUUGACAACCUUUCAAUAGUAUUUUCGCUAAUUUUGUAUGCACAACUGAUCUCAGAAGCCUACGAUGAUGGUUAGGAGAGUGCCUGAUAUUUCAUCAACUAUACCUGAAUACUGCAGCCUUUAGAAGCGUGAAAUUGGUGUGUUGAAGGCUGUGUGUUGAAGGCUUUGACACACUCCUAAAUGGGGAGUUGCCAAUCAUGAAUUUGUGUGCGAAACUUCUCCAUGUUUGAGGUGAUACUGAAAAUCUCUUUAGUGGUACUAUUUAGUUGGUUAUUUUGGAAGCACUUAAGAAUCUCUUUGGGGAGACUUUGAACAAUUCAAAAUCAAAUUAAAACCAAAGACUUUGUGCA